GAACCCUUCAACGCCUGAGCACUGUCUUCUGGGCAACUGAGAGGUCCCAGCUUGCCUUUACUGCACCUGGAGGUGCGCUCUUUAUUGAAUCAGUCCAAUUUGCGCAGUGAAUGCUUGGAUUUCAUCACUUGCAGAAGAGGGUUGAGGCUUCUUAAAUUAUUCCCAAAGCAGAGAAUGCAAAUCUCCAUGUUAAAGGAACCAGUUGUUGAAGCUUCAGACAGAAACAAGCUAAAUCCUGAACCUUUGAUGUUGUUAAAAUUUCAGGAUGCAAUGUCCUUGGAUAGUCCUGAAGAAACAGACCAUAAUACUGUUAACUGCAGUACCACCCCCUAGCUGAGGAACUUUAAUGAAAAAAUCAAUUAUGUACAAAAAAUACAAACUUAAUAUGAAAAUGAGUUGCUGACUAUGAAAAAUAAUUAUACAGGAUUGUUGUAACAUUCCUGCUCAUUAUUGAUAAAGGUUGUAGUAAAUACAGAAGGUUUUCUUUCACAAAGCUCACACUGUGACUAAGACAUUUGAAAUAUACAGUACACUGGAUUUAUCAAGUGCAACUGGAGUUAAAAAAAAAAAACAUUUCAAAACUGCUUCAGUUGCGUUUGUGCAAUUUUGUUGCAAUUAAUAGACAGUUCAGCGGCAUAACCAUAUGUACUAAUUAUUUAUUUUCAAAUAAGCUACAUGGAAUUAGAGAAUUCUACAAAUAAAUUAAUAAAGGUCAAUUUUAUUUUAGAUCUGACAGAA